CCUACGGGAGGCUGCAGUGGGGAAUAUUGGACAAUGGGGGAAACCCUUAUCCAGCGACGCCGCGUGAGGGAAGAAGGUUUUCGGAUUGUAAACCUCUGUCAGUGGGGACGAUAAUGACGGUACCCACGGAGGAAGCCACGGCUAACUACGUGCCAGCAGCCGCGGUAAUACGUAGGUGGCAAGCGUUGUCCGGAAUUAUUGGGUUUAAAGGGUGCGCAGGCGGAAUGUCAAGUCAGCGGUAAAAUUUCGGGGCUCAACCCCGUCGUGCCGUUGAAACUGGCGUUCUUGAGUGAGCGAGAAGUAUGCGGAAUGCGUGGUGUAGCGGUGAAAUGCAUAGAUAUCACGCAGAACUCCGAUUGCGAAGGCAGCAUACCGGCGCUCAACUGACGCUCAUGCACGAAAGCGUGGGUAUCGAACAGGAUUAGAUACCCUUGUAGUC
rnacentral:rRNA from 1 species